UGCAGAUGCAGCUCCUCUGGAGAACCACCUACUUUUAAAAAUAUGUUGGCCGCCAGUGCUCCUUAACUACUUUUCGCAAAAAUUCAACGCUAACAAAUGAAUGUUGUAGGUAUAUAUCUUUUCAAUUAUUCAUUUGUUAGUUGUGUGUAUCAUUUUUAUUCAUUUUAAUCUUUAUUAAAUCCAGAUCUGCAAUCUUUUCUCAUGCAGAGAAUACUUUGACGCUAAACGUGUUAAAGAUGGUUUCAUUUCAUCAUCACUUUCGUCUUCCAUGUGUUUUAUGUGGUCGAUCACAACUUCUAUCUUUUUUAUUAUUUUAACGGCUGUGAUUUCUUUGUAGAGAUAGAGAAGCAAAUGUAUGCCUUGUAUCUAAUUUAAUUUUAGUUAUUCAUAUAAUAGAAACGUACAUGACCAUGGUAUAAAGUGCCACCGAGGAGAAAACAUACCAACAAUUUUGGAACUAGAUCUUUCCCUUUGAUUUUUCACUUGCCGAUUUUUUAGAUUAAUAAAUCUAUCAAAUGAUCAAAUGCAUGCAUAGAUGAAAAAUGUUAAAAACGGUUACGACGAUUAACACAAUGAAUGAUUUCAUAUCUUACAUUCAAACAAUAAUCGGAAAAAUUGGCGAUGAGAAGGUUGACAGAAUACACCGUGUCGUUUAGUAAGAGAGAAUUAGUCGGAAACAAGUCUAGAGGGAGUCAUAGGGAUUUCAUACCUUACUCAAUGACACCCUCUAGAAAUGUUUCCGACUAAUUCUCUCUUGCUCAAUGACGCAGCUUAUUCCCUCAACCUUCUCCAUCGUUGAUUUUUCCCAUUAUUGUCAGCAUGUAUGAUAUGAAUUCCUUCAUUGUAUUAUUCGUCGUAAUUGUUUUUAACCGUUUCCAUCUAUGCAUGCAAUUGAUAGAUUUAUUGAUCAUUUUCUUUGACAGUGAUAGUUGCUCAAACUUCAAAGAGAUCUAAACAAUCGGCAAGCAAAAAAACUAAGGGAAAUGGUUCCAAAAUUGUUACUAUGUUUUCUCCUCAGUGGCACUUUAUACCAUCAUGUUUUUAUUAUAUGAAUAACAAAAUAUUAAAUUAGAUAUAAGGCAUAUGUUUUCUUCUCUAUCUCUAUUGAAUAUUUUGAAAUCUCUGAUCUAUUUAAUUUAUUUAUUUGUUUUGUUUUGUUUUGUGCAAGCUUUGCUUCUUGAUGAUGGAACAAUUCCAAGCACAACAACGGAAACUUCAUCAAUGAAUGAAAUAGCUUUUAACAUUAUGGAAAUAAGUCAACAUAUGGAAGAAAUUUUAUUCUUCAUAAGUAGCAAUACUCAAGCUCUUCUCAAGCCUCCGAGAAUCAAGUGGCGAUGAAACGGGAGACCGGAGAAGAGAAUGAUGCACCAUCAACUGAAUAUGUAAUAAGGCACAUUUCAUCCAUAAGCUUCCAUAUUUCAUCUCUAAAUCAACUUGGAUCUCUAAUCUGUAUUAACAUGGUUGGUGUCCCACACUUCAGGACAAUAAACAUAGCAAGUAGAAAUUCCCAGA